AUAAAAAUUUAAAUUGAGUUUUAUUACCGACAAAUAUACUAAAUAAGUGGAUGAGUGAAGUAGACUGAGUAGAUUGAGUAGUCGCGUGUCUGACAGUUGACUAGUGACAGGUUAUUUAAAAUGUUGUUUUGAUAAUGUUAUUUACUUAUUUUUUCACAAAUUAGUUUUACGUUUGAGUGAAAUUUUUUUAGAGUUAUAACACGAUUGAUUGGUUCAUCUUUUCAUUUUUAUUCAGUUAUUUGUCCAUGAAUAAUUUAUAUAUAAGUACUAUGGAAAUUACACCAUCACCUUGACUGAUGUGCCAGACCAGUAUUCAAUGUGCCAGAAUUUUAAAUAUGACCUUCCUAUAUCAGGUUUAGUGAAAUUGAAUGAAAUAUGAAGAAAUAUAUACAUG